rnacentral:rRNA from 1 species
AAUACAAUUCUGGUUGAUCCUGCCAGAGGUUACUGCUAUCAGGGUUCGACUAAGCCAUGUGAGUCAAGUGUUCUUUGUGAACACGGCGAACUGCUCAGUAACACGCGGAUAAUCUACCCUUAGGUUUGGGAUAACCCCGGGAAACUGGGGAUAAUAUCGAAUAUUUCAAGGUUGCUGGAAUGCACUUUGAUUAAAAGCUACGGCGCCUAAGGAUGAGUCUGUGGCCUAUCAGGUAGUAGUGGGUGUAACGUACCUACUAGCCCGCGACGGGUACGGGUUGUGAGAGCAAGAGCCCGGAGAUGGAUUCUGAGACACGAAUCCAGGCCCUACGGGGUGCAGCAGGCGCGAAACCUUUACAAUGCGCGAAAGCGCGAUAAGGGAACCCUGAGUGCCAGCACACAGUGCUGGCUGUCCAACUGUUCAAAAAACAGCUGAUAGCAAGGGCCGGGCAAGACCGGUGCCAGCCGCCGCGGUAACACCGGCGGCCCGAGUGGUAACCGAUUUUAUUGGGCUUAAAGCGUUCGUAGCCGGUUUGGUAAGUCUCUUAGGAAAUCUGGCAGCUUAACUGCUAGGCGUCUAAGAGAUACUGCCAAACUUGGGACCGGGAGAGGUAGGAGGUACUCCAUGGGUAGGGGUGAAAUCUUGUAAUCCUUGGAGGACCAUCGAUGGCGAAGGCAUCCUACCAGAACGGGUCCGACGGUGAGGGACGAAAGCUGGGGGCACAAACCGGAUUAGAUACCCGGGUAGUCCCAGCUGUAAACGAUGCUCGCUAGGUGUCGGGUGCGGUGCGUCCGUAUUCGGUGCCGUAGGGAAACCGCGAAGCGAGCCGCCUGGGAAGUACGGUCGCAAGGCUGAAACUUAAAGGAAUUGGCGGGGGAGCACUACAACGGGUGGAGCCUGCGGUUUAAUUGGAUUCAACGCCGGAAAACUCACCAGAUCAGACAGCAGUAUGAAGGUCAGGCUGAAGACCUUACCUGAUCCGCUGAGAGGAGGUGCAUGGCCGUCGUCAGUUCGUACUGUGAAGCAUCCUGUUAAGUCAGGCAACGAGCGAGACCCGUGCCCACAGUUGCCAGCA